rnacentral:rRNA from 1 species
CACGUAGGGACCAAGCGUUGUCCGGAUUCAUUGGGCGUAAAGAGCUCGUAGGCGGCUCAGUAAGUCGGGUGUGAAACCUCCAGGCCCAACCUGGAGACGCCACCCGAUACUGCUGUGGCUAGAGUCCAGUAGGGGAGCGUGGAAUUCCUGGUGUAGCGGUGAAAUGCGCAGAUAUCAGGAGGAACACCAGCGGCGAAGGCGGCGCUCUGGGCUGGAACUGACGCUGAGGAGCGAAAGCGUGGGGAGCGAACAGG